rnacentral:lncRNA from 1 species
UCAUGAGUCCCGACUAGAUGGUAGGUCAUGGAUAAAUCAUCAAACUUCAACAUCAGUUAUAUGAUAGAUUCGCUUGGCUCAAGUCCAGAUAUGAUGUCUAUAAAAACUCCUUUCCGUCAAUCACUCUACUGUGGUCACAGAUUCUUGGACUUAGCUUCUCAAAUUUCAUAGGAUUACUCUCUAUCAAGAUCAAUAGAUCCUAUCUUAAUACGCACUCCACUCCUACAGUGGAUCAACUAUCUCCAACAUCCACUAUAACGACUUAUUGAGAUCCAUGUUUAUAUGUCAGUCAAACUCCAGCAGUCUUACUGC